rnacentral:rRNA from 1 species
UACGUAGGGCGCGAGCGUUGUCCGGAUUUAUUGGGCGUAAAGAGCUCGUAGGCGGCUCAUUGCGUCGUGCGUGAAAUUCCACCGCUCAACGGUGGGGCUGCGCACGAUACGGGUGGGCUGGAGUUCGGUAGGGGAGACUGGAAUUCCUGGUGUAGCGGUGAAAUGCGCAGAUAUCAGGAGGAACACCGGUGGCGAAGGCGGGUCUCUGGGCCGAUACUGACGCUGAGGAGCGAAAGCGUGGGGAGCGAACAGG